rnacentral:rRNA from 2 species
CCAAGUUUUUAAGGGCGCACGGUGGAUGCCUUGGCACCAGGAACCGAUGAAGGACGUGGGAGGCCACGAUAGGCCCCGGGGAGCUGUCAACCGAGCUUUGAUCCGGGGGUGUCCGAAUGGGGAAACCCGGCAGUCGUCAUGGGCUGUCACCCGCUGCUGAACACAUAGGCAGUGUGGAGGGAACGCGGGGAAGUGAAACAUCUCAGUACCCGCAGGAAGAGAAAACAACCGUGAUUCCGGGAGUAGUGGCGAGCGAAACUGGAUGAGGCCAAACCAGUCACGUGUGAUACCCGGCAGGGGUUGCGUGGUUGGGGUUGUGGGAUCUCUCUUUUGCAGUCUGCCGGCUGUGAGGCGAGUCAGAAACCGUUGAUGUAGGCGAAGGACAUGCGAAAGGUCCGGCGUAGAGGGUAAGACCCCCGUAGCUGAAACAUUAGCGGCUCGUUUGAGAGACACCCAAGUAGCACGGGGCCCGAGAAAUCCCGUGUGAAUCUGGCGGGACCACCCGUUAAGCCUAAAUAUUCCCUGGUGACCGAUAGCGGAUAGUACCGUGAGGGAAUGGUGAAAAGUACCGCGGGAGCGGAGUGAAAUAGUACCUGAAACCGUGUGCCUACAAGCCGUGGGAGCGUCGCUGGUGAGUUUACUCAUCAGUCGUGACUGCGUGCCUUUUGAAGAAUGAGCCUGCGAGUUUGCGGUAUGUUGCGAGGUUAACCCGUGUGGGGAAGCCGUAGCGAAAGCGAGUCCGAAUAGGGCGUGGAGUAGCAUGCUCAAGACCCGAAGCGGAGUGAUCUAGCCAUGGGCAGGUUGAAGCGGAGGUAAGACUUCGUGGAGGACCGAACCCACCAGGGUUGAAAACCUGGGGGAUGACCUGUGGUUAGGGGUGAAAGGCCAAUCAAACUCCGUGAUAGCUGGUUCUCCCCGAAAUGCAUUUAGGUGCAGCGUCGUGUGUUUCUUGCCGGAGGUAGAGCACUGGAUAGGCGAUGGGCCCUACCGGGUUACUGACCUUAGCCAAACUCCGAAUGCCGGUAAGUGAGAGCGCGGCAGUGAGACUGUGGGGGAUAAGCUCCAUGGUCGAGAGGGAAACAGCCCAGAGCAUCGACUAAGGCCCCUAAGCGUGUGCUAAGUGGGAAAGGAUGUGGAGUCGCAGAGACAACCAGGAGGUUGGCUUAGAAGCAGCCACCCUUGAAAGAGUGCGUAAUAGCUCACUGGUCAAGUGAUUCCGCGCCGACAAUGUAGCGGGGCUCAAGUACACCGCCGAAGUCGUGUCAUUGCAGCAUGAGGGCUAACGCCUGUUGUGAUGGGUAGGGGAGCGUCGUGUGCCGGGUGAAGCAGCCGUGGAAACGAGUUGUGGACGGUUCACGAGUGAGAAUGCAGGCAUGAGUAGCGAUACAAGAGUGGGAAACUCUUGCGCCGAUUGACUAAGGGUUCCUGGGUCAAGCUGAUCUGCCCAGGGUAAGUCGGGACCUAAGGCGAGGCCGACAGGCGUAGUCGAUGGACAACCGGUUGAUAUUCCGGUACCCGCUUUGAAGCGCCCAAUACUGAAUCAGGCGAUGCUAAGUCCGUGAAGCCGCCCUGAUCUCUUCGGAGUUGAGGGGAGUGGUGGAGCCGACGGACCAGACUUGUAGUAGGUAAGCGAUGGGGUGACGCAGGAAGGUAGUCCAGCCCGGGCGGUGGUUGUCCCGGGGUAAGGGUGUAGGCCGUGUGGUAGGUAAAUCCGUCGCACGUUAAGGCUGAGACCUGAUGCCGAGCCGAUUGUGGUGAAGUGGAUGAUCCUAUGCUGUCGAGAAAAGCCUCUAGUGAGUUUCAAGGCGGCCCGUACCCUAAACCGACUCAGGUGGUCAGGUAGAGAAUACCGAGGCGUUCGGGUGAACUAUGGUUAAGGAACUCGGCAAAAUGCCCCCGUAACUUCGGGAGAAGGGGGGCCAUUUCUGGUGAGGGAACUUGCUUCCUGAGCUGGGGGUGGCCGCAGAGACCAGCGAGAAGCGACUGUUUACUAAAAACACAGGUCCGUGCGAAGCCGUAAGGCGAUGUAUACGGACUGACGCCUGCCCGGUGCUGGAACGUUAAGGGGACCGGUUAGCUUGGAUUCGUUCAGGCGAAGCUGAGAACUUAAGCGCCAGUAAACGGCGGUGGUAACUAUAACCAUCCUAAGGUAGCGAAAUUCCUUGUCGGGUAAGUUCCGACCUGCACGAAUGGCGUAACGACUUCUCGACUGUCUCAACCAUAGGCCCGGUGAAAUUGCAUUACGAGUAAAGAUGCUCGUUUCGCGCAGCAGGACGGAAAGACCCCGGGACCUUUACUAUAGCUUGAUAUUGGUGUUCGGUUCGGCUUGUGUAGGAUAGGUGGGAGACUGUGAAGCGCCAACGCCAGUUGGUGUGGAGUCGUUGUUGAAAUACCACUCUGGUCGUGCUGGAUGUCUAACCUGGGUCCGUGAUCCGGAUCAGGGACAGUGUCUGGUGGGUAGUUUAACUGGGGCGGUUGCCUCCUAAAGAGUAACGGAGGCGCCCAAAGGUUCCCUCAGCCUGGUUGGUAAUCAGGUGUUGAGUGUAAGUGCACAAGGGAGCUUGACUGUGAGACUGACGGGUCGAGCAGGUACGAAAGUAGGGACUAGUGAUCCGGCGGUGGCUUGUGGAAGCGCCGUCGCUCAACGGAUAAAAGGUACCCCGGGGAUAACAGGCUGAUCUUCCCCAAGAGUCCAUAUCGACGGGAUGGUUUGGCACCUCGAUGUCGGCUCGUCGCAUCCUGGGGCUGGAGUCGGUCCCAAGGGUUGGGCUGUUCGCCCAUUAAAGCGGUACGCGAGCUGGGUUUAGAACGUCGUGAGACAGUUCGGUCCCUAUCCGCUGUGCGCGUAGGAGUCUUGAGAAGGGCUGUCCCUAGUACGAGAGGACCGGGACGGACGAACCUCUGGUGUGCCAGUUGUUCUGCCAAGGGCAUGGCUGGUUGGCUACGUUCGGAAAGGAUAACCGCUGAAAGCAUCUAAGCGGGAAGCCUGCUUCGAGAUGAGGGCUCCCUCCUCCUUGAGAGGGUAAGGCUCCCAGUAGACGACUGGGUUGAUAGGCCAGAUAUGGAAGCACUGUAAGGUGUGGAGUUGACUGGUACUAAUAGGCCGAGGGCUUGUCCUC